AUGGAAACAGCAGCGAGGGAUGCAGCUGAAGUACAGGGGGUGAAACCUGAGACAGUGCACAAGAUUAACACACAACCCAAAUCGCGUCAACCUCAGCUAUUUAGCAAGAAACCUACAGUGAGAAACACUUCAUCUUUUGCACGUCCAACAACCAAGAGAAACACAUGCUACCGCUGUGAUGGUGAACACCCAACCUCCCAGUGUCGACAUAUUAACUCCGUCUGUUCUUACUGUCAGAAGGAUGGACACAUUGAGCGAGCAUGCAUGAAGAAGAAGCGCAACAGAAACACGGGACGUAACACUUCCCUAUUCUUCAAUGAAGAGGAGGAAUUUGAUUCUGAGGAAGAACACUACCAGGAGGGUGAAGGAGAACCACUUUUACACAUUACUAGUACCUUCCAUAUGAAGUCACAUCAUGAACCACCAAUAACAGUGCACCCAGUUAUUGAGGGCAAGGUCAUAAAGAUGAAAGUUGACACAGGGACAGCUGUUUCAGUGAUCUCAGAAAACAUCAUGAAACCAGACUUGGCUACUACAGUCCUCUGUAAACAAUAUGGUUCAAAGGCAAAACACUGCGGAAAUGAGAUUCGGGAGUUCUCUGAGGGUGACCCAGUAAACACACGCGAUUACCGCUGUAAUGCAGACAAGUGGACGAAAGGACAAAUCCAUUCUCGAACUGGACCCCUGUCUUACAAGGUGGACGUCAAUGGAACGCUAUGGAGAAGGCACGUUGACCAGAUAGUUGGAACUUCAAAUAAUCAAGCUGCUGACCCAACUCCUGUGGACAUCACUGCUGAAACUCCGUUUGAGUCAUCCGUGAAUGUACCAUGUCCUCCUGACAGUAAUACGGAAUGCGUGAAGGACACCGCGAGCAGUGCACCAACACCACGUCGAAAUCCAUCGCGAGCCCGAAACAAACCGGACAAGUUGAACUUGUGA
rnacentral:sRNA from 1 species